GAACAUCCUUCAAUCUGCCAACAAGAAAAAAAAGGACCAGAGGAAGACAGGAGGGGGCCCUCCUCCAGCAGAGUUCACCCCUGCCGAGGAGCUGGCCCUCAGCAACAAUGAGGGUCGGCCCUUGAUGGUAGGGGUGGAAGGGGGGUUCUCUACAGACCCUGGUUGCAGCAGCUCCCACCACCUUUAUAUACAGGAUGAUGGGAAGAACGUGGUGUUGCUGCCCCCCCCCCAAUCAACAACUAUACCUCAUACAGAGGGGGGCCUAGAUGAGGAUGACACACUGUCAGAGAGCGCAGAGAUGGAAGAAGGAACUCUUCCUCCCCCGCAGCUACAGGUGC